rnacentral:lncRNA from 1 species
AAACCAAAUGGGACCUGAGAUAUGUGUCCGCUUAAAAGAGGUGUCCGCUUAAGAGAGGUGUCCGCUUAUAGGGGUUCGACUGCAGUAUAUAAAUAGUAAUACAUUUGACAUCCGUACUGUAAGUACAAUUUCUCAUGCUGAAUCGAACGGUGGUAUUUUUAUCCUUAUUGCGCCAUUAGGCAUUACAAAUACAAAGACAAACGUAG